rnacentral:rRNA from 1 species
GACGAACGCUGGCGGCGUGCUUAACACAUGCAAGUCGAACGGAAAGGCCCUGCUUUUGUGGGGUGCUCGAGUGGCGAACGGGUGAGUAACACGUGAGUAACCUGCCCUUGACUUUGGGAUAACUUCAGGAAACUGGGGCUAAUACCGGAUAGGAGCUCCUGCUGCAUGGUGGGGGUUGGAAAGUUUCGGCGGUUGGGGAUGGACUCGCGGCUUAUCAGCUUGUUGGUGGGGUAGUGGCUUACCAAGGCUUUGACGGGUAGCCGGCCUGAGAGGGUGACCGGCCACAUUGGGACUGAGAUACGGCCCAGACUCCUACGGGAGGCAGCAGUGGGGAAUAUUGCACAAUGGGCGGAAGCCUGAUGCAGCAACGCCGCGUGCGGGAUGACGGCCUUCGGGUUGUAAACCGCUUUCGCCUGUGACGAAGCGUGAGUGACGGUAAUGGGUAAAGAAGCACCGGCUAACUACGUGCCAGCAGCCGCGGUGAUACGUAGGGUGCGAGCGUUGUCCGGAUUUAUUGGGCGUAAAGGGCUCGUAGGUGGUUGAUCCCCGUCGGAAGUGUAAUCUUUGGGCCUUACCCUGAGCGUGCUUUCAAUACGGGUUGUCUUGUGGAAGGUAGGGGAGAAUGGAAUUCCUGGUGGAGCGGUGGAAUGCGCAGAUAUCAGGAGGAACACCAGUGGCGAAGGCGGUUCUCUGGGCCUUUCCUGACGCUGAGGAGCGAAAGCGUGGGGAGCGAACAGGCUUAUAUACCCUGGUAGUCCACGCUGUAAACGGUGGGUACUAGGUGUGGGGUCCAUUCCACGGGUUCCGUGCCGUAGCUAACGCUUUAAGUACCCCGCCUGGGGAGUACGGCCGCAAGGCUAAAACUCAAAGGAAUUGACGGGGCCCCGCACAAGCGGCGGAGCAUGCGGAUUAAUUCGAUGCAACGCGUAGAACCUUACCUGGGUUUGACAUGGAUCGGGAGUGCUCAGAGAUGGGUGUGCCUCUUUUGGGGUCGGUUCACAGGUGGUGCAUGGCUGUCGUCAGCUCGUGUCGUGAGAUGUUGGGUUAAGUCCCGCAACGAGCGCAACCCUUGUUCACUGUUGCCAGCACGUUAUGGUGGGGACUCAGUGGAGACCGCCGGGGUCAACUCGGAGGAAGGUGGGGAUGACGUCAAGUCAUCAUGCCCCUUAUGUCCAGGGCUUCACGCAUGCUACAAUGGCUGGUACAGAGAGUGGCGAGCCUGUGAGGGUGAGCGAAUCUCGGAAAGCCGGUCUCAGUUCGGAUUGGGGUCUGCAACUCGACCUCAUGAAGUCGGAGUCGCUAGUAAUCGCAGAUCAGCAACGCUGCGGUGAAUACGUUCCCGGG